CCCAAAUAAAUGAUAUUAAACUAGGUCCAAGUCAUUGAGACUUGAGAGGCUGAGACAAUCCUCUUAUUUGACAGGACAGUUCAUAACAUCAUCGAAAGAUAAAUUUGACAGGACAGUUCACAA